rnacentral:rRNA from 1 species
GGCUGAAAUUCGCCUACAUGAAGCCGGAAUUGCUAGUAAUGGCAGGUCAGCAUACUGCCGUGAAUACGUUCCCGGGCCUUGUACACACCGCCCGUCACACCAUGAGAGUUGGGAUACCCGAAGCCUGUGAGCCAACUAUAUAGAGGCAGCAGUCGAAGGUAGAAUCAAUGAUUGGGGUGAAGUCGUAACAAGGUAUC